rnacentral:rRNA from 1 species
CAGUCGCCGCGGGAAUACGAAGGGGGCUAGCGUUGUUCGGAUUUACUGGGCGUAAAGGGCGCGUAGGCGGACUGAUAAGUCAGGGGUGAAAUCCCAAGGCUCAACCUUGGAACUGCCUUUGAUACUGUUUGUCUUGAGUUCGAGAGAGGUAAGUGGAACUGCGAGUGUAGAGGUGAAAUUCGUAGAUAUUCGCAAGAACACCAGUGGCGAAGGCGGCUUACUGGCUCGAAACUGACGCUGAGGCGCGAAAGCGUGGGGAGCAAAUGGGAUUAGAUACCCGGGUAGUCCCUGUCUCUUAUAA